rnacentral:rRNA from 1 species
AGAACGAACGCUGGCGGCAGGCCUAAUACAUGCAAGUCGAGCGCGCCCUUCGGGGUGAGCGGCGGACGGGUGAGUAACGCGUGGGAAUAUGCCCUUCUCUAAGGAAUAGCCUCGGGAAACUGAGAGUAAUACCUUAUACGCCCUUCGGGGGAAAGAUUUAUCGGAGAAGGAUUAGCCCGCGUUAGAUUAGGUAGUUGGUGGGGUAAUGGCCUACCAAGCCUACGAUCUAUAGCUGGUUUGAGAGGAUGAUCAGCCACACUGGGACUGAGACAUGGCCCAGACUCCUACGGGAGGCAGCAGUAGGGAAUCUUAGACAAUGGGGGAAACCCUGAUCUAGCCAUGCCGCGUGUGUGAUGAAGGCCUUAGGGUCGUAAAGCACUUUCGCCAGAGAUGAUAAUGACAGUAUCUGGUAAAGAAACCCCGGCUAACUCCGUGCCAGCANCCNCNNUAAUACGGAGGGGGNUAGCGUUGUUCGGAAUUACUGGGCGUAAAGCGUACGUAGGCGGAUUAGUAAGUUAGAGGUGAAAUCCCAGGGCUCAACCCUGGAACUGCCUUUAAUACUGCUAGUCUUGAGUUCGAGAGAGGUAAGUGGAAUUCCGAGUGUAGAGGUGAAAUUCGUAGAUAUUCGGAGGAACACCAGUGGCGAAGGCGGCUUACUGGCUCGAUACUGACGCUGAGGUACGAAAGUGUGGGGAGCAAACAGGAUUAGAUACCCUGGUAGUCCACACCGUAAACGAUGAAUGCCAGACGUCAGCAAGUAUACUUGUUGGUGUCACACCUAACGGAUUAAGCAUUCCGCCUGGGGAGUACGGUCGCAAGAUUAAAACUCAAAGGAAUUGACGGGGGCCCGCACAAGCGGUGGAGCAUGUGGUUUAAUUCGACGCAACGCGCAGAACCUUACCAACCCUUGACAUCCUGUGCUACUACCAGAGAUGGUACGUUCCCNUUCGGGGACGCAGUGACAGGUGCUGCAUGGCUGUCGUCAGCUCGUGUCGUGAGAUGUUCGGUUAAGUCCGGCAACGAGCGCAANCCCACAUCUUUAGUUGCCAUCAGGUUAUGCUGGGCACUCUAGAGAAACUGCCCGUGAUAAGCGGGAGGAAGGUGUGGAUGACGUCAAGUCCUCAUGGCCCUUACGGGUUGGGCUACACACGUGCUACAAUGGCAGUGACAAUGGGUUAAUCCCCAAAAGCUGUCUCAGUUCGGAUUGGGGUCUGCAACUCGACCCCAUGAAGUCGGAAUCGCUAGUAAUCGCGUAACAGCAUGACGCGGUGAAUACGUUCCCGGGCCUUGUACUCACCGCCCGUC